rnacentral:tRNA from 1 species
GGCAAGGUAGCUCAGCGGUUAGAGCAUCGGAUUCAUAAACCGAAGGCCGUGGGUUCAAGUCCCACCCUUGCUA